AGUAAGAAAAUAAAUUGGACCUGCUUGUAGUGGACUUGAAGGAUAGUGAACCUUUAAAAAAGUAUUCUUCCAGGAAGACUGAUUCCAUGGACUUCAGCGUAAUUUCUGAUGAAAGCAACAACCCGGACAAUAUCAUCAUAAGUCAAAGCAUGGUUUGGUGUCUUUCCAGCAUUUCCGUGAACUCUAAUAAAGUCUUCCUUCCUCAUGUCAUCACAAGAGUGAGUAGUUAAAGUAGCUGGAGCGUCAGGCGUCGCUGAUUCUAAAUCAAGAUCUGAUACUUGUAGCUCCACAGCCACCUCAGGAUCAAACAGUGGUGGAUUAAUAUCUUCAUCACAAUCUUU